rnacentral:tRNA from 1 species
AAUGAUGUGCCUGAGUAAAAGGAUUACCAUGAUAGGGUAAAUAAUGUAAACAAUUAACAAUACCUUCAUUA